CAGUGGCAUUUGUGAAAAAAAAAAAAAGGAAACCUGAAACAAAAAUAUAAAGAUGUGAAUGUCCUCAGACUGGUGUGAGCACUGAGGAUGGAGAGACACAGCAGAUCCUGGGAAUGGUUCAGUGUCAUGGAUGAGACUCUCCAUCACUCCUCCUGCCCUUACUUCCUCAUCUGACCUGAUGUUGCUGUGAUUUCUUCAUCCUCA